CCUACGGGAGGCAGCAGUGGGGAAUAUUGGGCAAUGGGCGCAAGCCUGACCCAGCAACGCCGCGUGAAGGAAGAAGGCUUUCGGGUUGUAAACUUCUUUUCUCAGGGACGAAGCAAGUGACGGUACCUGAGGAAUAAGCCAUGGCUAACUACGUGCCAUCAGCCGCGGUAAUACGUAGGUGGCAAGCGUUAUCCGGAUUUACUGGGUGUAAAGGGCGUGUAGGCGGGACUGCAAGUCAGAUGUGAAAACCAUGGGCUCAACCUAUGGCCUGCAUUUGAAACUGUAGUUCUUGAGUACUGGGGAGGCAGACGGAAUUCCUGGUGUAGCGGUGAAAUGCGUAGAUAUUAGGAAGAACACCAGUGGCGAAGGCGGUCUGCUGGACAGCAACUGACGCUGAGGCGCGAAAGCGUGGGGAGCGAACAGGAUUAGAUACCCUUGUAGUC
rnacentral:rRNA from 1 species